GAUGAACGCUAGCGGGAGGCCUAACACAUGCAAGUCGAACGGUAGAGCAGUUUCGGAUACUUGUGAGCGGCGGACGGGUGCGUAACACGUGGGCAACCUACCUUUAUUUGGGGGUUAGCCUGUCUAACGGAAGAUUAAUAACCCAUAAAAUAAUGAUUGGCAUCAAUUAUUAUUGAAAACUCCGGUGGCUAGAGAUGGGCACGCGCAAGAUUGGAUAGUUGGUGAGGUACCGGCUCACCAACCCAAUGAUCUGUAGGUGUCCUGAGAGGGAGAGCCCCCAGACUGGGACUGCGACACGGACCACACUCCUACGGGAGGGAGCAGUAAGGAAGACAGUAGGAGGGAUGAGGGCCUAAUCCAGCCAUGCCGGGUGAAGAAGCACUGUGGUAUGGAUGGUAAACUUCUGGUGGAGAAGGACAGACGUAUCCUAGUGAGCGUAGCUGAAGGUACUGGACGAAUAAGCACCGGCUAACUCCGUG
rnacentral:rRNA from 1 species